GAGCCAGAGAGAAAUUAAACCGUUUCAUUCAUCAUUAUGAAAAUAAUGAUCAUUAUCAUUUCGUAUCAUGGGUAUUUUAGUAAUUACAAGAAUAAUGGUGUAUGUAUACUAACGUGUUUUGGAGACAUACAGAUUUCGCCGUUCUAUAACCGUUAGUUUCGAAUUUGAAAUGUUUAGCACCACCGAGGGCAGUUUAGUAACUUCAAUCAACGAUUAUAAAUACGAAACUAUGCGUUAGAUUGUUCCGUCUUUCUCUAAUUCUCUCUACCUGAAGGCUGAAGCGCACAUGUAGGGUUUAGAGCUCUCGUUCUUCAUCCAACGACCCUCUCGAAUCUCCUCCUCUCUGGAUCGAAUCCGGUGGUGGAUCAAUCAGCGGGUGAUUUUAAAUCCGAUCCGCCGCUCUACACGGUGCUCCUCGCCGUUGUGGUGUCGUUUAAUUCACACCCUGUCGCAGUAGUAGUCGUGAUCUAACGCCUCCGAACGCCUUCCGAUUACGCUGAAAAUCAGGUAAUUAUUGUGGUUCAUGUUGCGUGGACAUGGUAAGCUUGUUGCUUUAUUUACUGGAGAAAAUGGUUAAAAGAGAUUUGAUCGAAGUUUCUGGAAAGGAGAAUGUUAUUGUUUUGCUGCGGAGACAUAAAACGUUGGAAGACGUGUUUGGGUAUGAGCCAUGUCGAAUGAAGGUUACGUCUCUGUCACUCUCACAUACACACACGUAUAUACACAAAUAUUACAUAAUAGACGAAAAUUCAUAUAGAAUCCGACAAAAAGAAAACAGAAUACAAAACACAUAACACACAAAACGCAUUCAACCACGAUAACAAAGCAGACUACAAAACACACAUACGCAUCGUCAAGCAUAACAAAACUACAAAACACGCAUACAAAACGUCAAACACAACCUAGCGAAAAAACAGAAUACAAAACACUCAAAACACAGCAAAACUCGAACAUACAGUAACUCACAAGUCACAACACAAAUUUUUACAUAUCAAUAACUCAAACACAAACACAAACCUAAACAAUAAAGAUGCAAUGCAAAGUCCUAAGAACUUCCAUAUUCAAUAGUGUUUCUCGUAUCAUUUUUCAUAUGAUAUUUGUUUCCCAUGAAUCAAAUCAUUUAGUGGGCAAGCGACUAGCUGAAAGAGGUUCUUGAGCUGCAGCAAACAAAUUUUUUAUAAGCAAUACAGACUCCAAGAGGUCGCAUUUGUAGUCUUUGAUACAUUCUUUCAGUAACUCAUACCACUACCAGGUUUCAAAUUCCACCUCUAAAUCUCGUUUGAAGCCUGAGUUUUGUGUGUGUGUGUGUGUGGCAGUUAGUUAAUUUUUUAUAAGCAAUACAGACUCCAAGAGGUCGCAUUUGUAGUCUUUGAUACAUUCUUUCAGUAACUCAUACCACUACCAGGUUUCAAAUUCCACCUCUAAAUCUCGUUUGAAGCCUGAGUUUUGUGUGUGUGUGUGUGUGGCAGUUAGUUAUUUCUGGUUACGUUGAAUUUUUUAACUGGCUUUCUUUCAUCCUGCUCUACUUUCCAAGAGAUUAUUCUCCGUAGAUGUGCACGAGAUCAAGGUGAUAUAUCUAUAACCCUGUACAACAUGUUCUGGCACAUAUCUUAAGUUUAUCAUGUUUUAGGUAAAGGACAACAAUUAAAAAUUCCUUUUGUUUCACUAUGAUUAGAUGUCUAGGAAAGAUGGUUCUUCUAUUCUGAUGUUUUUACUUUUGCCUUGGAUCUCUUCUUAUGGUGGUUGCUAGGUAUGUCCUACUGUCUAACCUUGAACAAUGAUCAUUCAUUCACUAAUCUUGCUCGGGGGACUUUUAGGUGACGUCUUUUAUUUAUGAUUUUUGAGCUUGUUAAAUGACAGAGAGAACUCCAAUGAACAAUGGGGAAUAACGGUUUUGAUGGAAGUCUUCAAGCUAUUCUUUAAGAGGGUGAUGAUGCACAACCAAACUUCAGUCUGAUAUCUCACGUGGAGUGUUGGCCUUGUUUUCAGAACUGAAUCACUUACGAUAGCUUUACCAACCUCUCCAGAUAAGUAAGAAACUUCUAACACUUUAUAGAUUCAAGAGUGGGCUAGUGUAAUGUUUCGAGAAUUCUGACUUGGAUGAAUUUGUGGAUGUAAGUCAAGGUAAGUGUCUUUGCGUUUCUUUCUUUUCUUAUAUAUAUUGUUUCUGAAAAUAUAUAUUAUCAGAUCAAGCCAGUUAUGUUCAUAAGAACAAGAAUGCCGCCAUACGCUUUUAGCAGCCAAAAGCAAAUUACAAGUCAUGUGAAAACUGAGUGUCUAAUUACUUUGUAUUUUGCAGAUCGACAUAACUUACUGCUGCUGGAUCUAUAAAGGAAACAUUGACAAGAUUUGACCAAACUCUCAGAAAGAGCUACAUCACUUAAAGAUGCAACUGGCUAGGAAUCAAUUUUGUGUAUGUCGUCCACUUGGGAGAGCCAAUCAUUUUUCUUAUUACUUCUUUUAAAGAUGUUCAGAUUUUUGAGUUUCAGAAGCUGUGAAGGCAAAUCAUCAGUCCAGCAGAACCACUAAGAAUUGGGUGAUGAAAUCUCUUUGUCUCUCCUCAUGUAUAAAACUACUUACACCAACUCGCACAAACAAAACAACAACAAAAAAUCAAAACGUCACGAACACUCAACAAAUCACAAAAACUAACACAACAAAUACCGAAAUAAAAGAAUUUCACAAACACUCAACAAAAUCACAAAAACUAACAUAGUAAAUACAGAAAUAAGAAACAAUAAAUCAAAUUGUAAUAAAGAAAACUUAGACACACACUUACUCAAAAUAAAAGCUACACCAUGCCACGAAAUAAACUACAAAACUCGACAAACAAAAACGAGACACGAACAAAACAAAACAACUUCACAAUCACACCACAAAACAAGAAUUAUCAUGGGCAUUUUUUUUUCCUGUACGAAAGACUUGUAUACUUCUUUUCUUAUUAUGUUGAAUGCUUCUUUUUUACUUACUUGAUGUUUGUUGGAUUCAAAAAGCUUGAGUUUAAUAUCGUUUAAACAUUGUGUAAAAAAUAAUUAAUGCCCGAUUUUUAAGGAUAUUUAUCGGUUCAUUUUUAUAUCAA